rnacentral:rRNA from 1 species
UGGGGAAUAUUGGACAAUGGGCGAAAGCCUGAUCCAGCCAUGCCGCGUGUGUGAAGAAGGUCUUCGGAUUGUAAAGCACUUUAAGUUGGGAGGAAGGGCAGUAAGCGAAUACCUUGCUGUUUUGACGUUACCGACAGAAUAAGCACCGGCUAACUCUGUGCCAGCAGCCGCGGUAAUACAGAGGGUGCGAGCGUUAAUCGGAUUUACUGGGCGUAAAGCGUGCGUAGGCGGCUGAUUAAGUCGGAUGUGAAAUCCCUGAGCUUAACUUAGGAAUUGCAUUCGAUACUGGUCAGCUAGAGUAUGGGAGAGGAUGGUAGAAUUCCAGGUGUAGCGGAGAAAUGCGUAGAGAUCUGGAGGAAUACCGAUGGCGAAGGCAGCCAUCUGGCCUAAUACUGACGCUGAGGUACGAAAGCAUGGGGAGCAAACAGG